AGUGACUGAGUGUGCCUGAUAGCUUGUGAUCUCAAAAGCUAAACAGGGAUAUCCCUGGUUAGUCCUUAGAUGGGAGACCAACUUGGAAGAUCUGGAGCCACUA
rnacentral:rRNA from 12 species